CACGUAGGCACCAAGCGUUGUCUGGAUUUAUUGGGCGUAAAGAGCUCGUAGGCGGUUCAGUAAGUCAGGUGUGAAAUCUUUGGGCUUAACCCAAAGCGUGCACUUGAUACUGCUGUGACUUGAGUUCGGUAGGGGAGUGGGGAAUUCCUAGUGUAGCGGUGAAAUGCGCAGAUAUUAGGAGGAACACCGGUGGCGAAGGCGCCACUCUGGGCCGAAACUGACGCUGAGGAGCGAAAGCGUGGGUAGCAAACAGG
rnacentral:rRNA from 1 species